AUGGGGAGAAGGGUGGGCAAAGAGCAUCUCCGAGAUGGGAGGCCAGAGGGAACUCUGGGUUCCUUUCUCCAGCCAGUAGGGCAGGAUGUUUUGAGGGGGUACCCCACUAAGCCCGCUGCGGGUAGGGCUACGGGGGGUGUGGGGGCAGAUGCUCACUUUUCACCAAGUCUCUGGGUUCCUGCGGGAAGAGGGCGGGGGGAGGGGGGGUUGGCCAGGGGGUGCCGCGCGGGAGCGAAGGCGGGGAUCCCUGCAGCCCGAGGGGCGCGGUCCCCACAUGCACCCGCUCCCAAAGGGAAGACGAGCACGUCCUGCGCGCCCCCGUCCCGAGGCCUCCAGGCGUCCUCCUCGCCACGAGGCCCCCUCCCCCGGCCAGAAUUUGACGCGAGCGCCGAUUUUGGUGCAAUGCGAAUUAGCUCCAGCCGCCCGGUCGGGAGGGACCGGCAGGCUCCGGGAGCUCCGGGAGCUCCGGGAGCUCCGGCACCGCGGGGCCGAGUCAACGCCCACCUCCGCCCGCAUCCCCCCCCGCCGCCUCCCGUCGCCAUAGCAACCGGCCCCCGCCCGCCCCGCCCGCCCCGGGACGCCCCGGCCGCGGCCCCCGCCCCGCCCCCACCUCGGAGGCCCGCAGCCUCGCGCCCCCGCCCCCACCCCGCGGCCGCCGAGCGCUACGCAGAGGCGCCCCCUCCCGCCGCCCGGGGGAAAGCCCUCGCGUCCCCGGGCCUCGAGCGCACAGCCAGCAAGGCUCCCGGGGGGCUGGGGCCUCCCGCGCGCGCCCCGGGCGCCCCGCACCUGCCGGGCGCCCCGCACCUGCCCUCGCCUGGGCUCCGGGGCGCGCCGCGGUCGGUCGCCGCGGCCGGUGCACGGCGCUCCCGGGGCGCAGGACAUCCCCGAAGGCGGGAGGCGGCCGGGGCGCGCGGGGAGGGCGGGGAGCCCGCGGGAGGAGGGGGCGGAGGGGGCGGAGGCGGAGGAGGGGAGCGGGGCGGGCGGCGCGGAGGGCGGAGAAGGGAGGCAAGAAAGUAG
rnacentral:lncRNA from 1 species